ACUGAAUUUUUUUUCACCUCGACUUUUAUUUUUUUCAUUCUCAAUGGUGCGUUACAACAGCCGCGGCAUCGAUCAGACUUUUUAAAAGUCAAAUUUAAUUCCUCUGAAUUUAUUACACUCUAUUUAUUUUUCAGUGAAUGGAAGUGAGAUAAAGCCUGAUUAUGCCGAAAGGGUAUUCACGCCUAUUGGCAAUAAUUAUCAGGGGGAUAUUACGGAGAAUAGCUGGUGAUGUGCCGCUGGACGAUUGCCUUGGCAAUCUCUCUCGUGACUUCAAAUAACACGGCUGCUCUGCUCUUACCAGAGGACACUGCGACUUACGCCCGAUUUCAACGAAAAUAAAGGCAUCCGUUGAAAUAAUAACGUCGACGAUACCUCGAGGAAUGUUCGUCGAGAAGUCUUAAAAGCUUUUUGUUUAGUGGACCUGAGAAGGGCGCCGGUCUCGCGAGAUGGAGACAAAUUCAUGAAAUUCAGUUGAAAACCGUCUGUUACGAGGGCUUUUAACGGUCGUCGGGGGGUAGUCGAUCGUUGCCAUCCGUUAAGGAACACUUCCGCGGCUGGCUGGAGGACCUACUACACAGAUUUCAGUUGUUCAUCUUACGACCGACUGUCAUAAAUGAAUUCAUUUUACUGUCCCGGGACUACUAAAAGGGUCGUCAACGGGUUUCUCGUAAAAUUGAUGUUAUGAGAUUCAAAAAGUCUGGGAUGUGUAUCAAUAAUAUCCGCAUUACAUACGAUAACUGUCGAAUAAGCGAUAUUUCCAUUUGAAUUACCCGAAAUUUCCGCUCCAAUCGUCGAGUAAAAUGAGGGAAAAUUAGGGCGAAUUAGGAGCGCAUAAUCUUCAAUUACAUUGUUAUGAGAUGCCAAAAUUCCCAAACUUUUCAAAAUCCAUUGGAAUAAAUGAUAAAUUCCUAAACUAUUGAAAGCAUUCAGAUUUUUCCCCAACGUUCUCUGGUUGGA